rnacentral:rRNA from 1 species
UGCCAGCAGCCGCGGUAAUACAGAGGGUGCAAGCGUUAAUCGGAAUUACUGGGCGUAAAGCGCACGUAGGUGGAUGUUUAAGUCGGAUGUGAAAGCCCUGGGCUCAACCCAGGAACUGCAUUCGAUACUGGACAUCUAGAGUAUGGUAGAGGGAAGUGGAAUUUCCGGAGUAGCGGUGAAAUGCAUAGAUACCGGAAGGAACACCAGAGGCGAAGACGACUUCCUGGGCCAAUACUGACACUGAGGUGCGAAAGCGUGGGUAGCAAACAGGAUUAGAUA